AGCCCGGGGCUCAACCUCGGAACCGCAUUUGAAACUGGCAGGCUAGAGUCUUGUAGAGGGGGGUAGAAUUUCAGGUGUAGCGGUGAAAUGCGUAGAGAUCCGAAGGGAUACCAGUGGCGAAGGCGGCCCCCUGGACAAAGACUGACGCUCGGAUGCGAAAGCGUGGGUAGCAAACAGGAUUAGAUACCCUGGUAGUCCACGCCGUAAACGCUGUCUACUUGGAGGUUGAGGUUUAGACUUUGGCUUUCGGCGCUAACGCAUUAAGUAGACCGCCUGGGGAGUACGGCCGCAAGGUUAAAACUCAAAUGAAUUGACGGGGGCCCGCACAAGCGGUGGAGCAUGUGGUUUAAUUCGAUGCAACGCGAAGAACCUUACCUACUCUUGACAUCCAGUGAACUUUCCAGAGAUGGAUUGGUGCCUUCGGGAACACUGAGACAGGUGCUGCAUGGCUGUCGUCAGCUCGUGUUGUGAAAUGUUGGGUUAAGUCCCGCAACGAGCGCAACCCUUAUCCUUGUUUGCCAGCACGUAAUGGUGGGAACUCCAGGGAGACUGCCGGUGAUAAACCGGAGGAAGGUGGGGACGACGUCAAGUCAUCAUGGCCCUUACG
rnacentral:rRNA from 1 species